rnacentral:lncRNA from 10 species
CUGUGCUCAAGUUCUUCAGGAGCACCUCACUGUCUCCCUCUGCCCACCCACCUGCACCUGACAGCUGUGGGCUGUGCUCUCAGGGAGGCACCGUCAGAUGCUACCAGACUACAGAGGAGAGCACCCUCAAUCCUGACUGAAGGUUUGGGAAAAGGCUGCUCAGAAGAGGUGAUACUUGAUAUGGGCCCUGGAGGAGGAGAAGCAGUUUGAGAAGACAGCAGUGAGAGAUGGCAUCCGGGCAGGCGAGAAAUGUCAGUGGUCAUGGAGGCAGCAUGAAGGGACUGUUGGCUGCAGAAACCUGGCAAGGCUCUUAGAGACAGAGACGAAGAGGGAGAUGGGGCUGGAGAUGGAGAUGAUAGAGACAGAAAGAUUGAAGAUGGCAGAGUGGGGGCUAUGGGGAAGGGUGAUGAAGCAGGAAAGAUAGAUCGAACGAGACUGCGAGGAGCCUGUGUGCCUGGGCUUUAUUUUGGAGGCAAUGAGAAACAGAAAGUGUUUUUGAGCAUGAUGGGACAAUGAGGAGUUCUGUGGUUUAGGAAACCCAGCAGUCACGGGAAGUGCAGAUUCAAAGUCCUGAGCACCAAGGGUACAGUCAGAAAUGAUGAAUCCAGAAAUGAUGCCCUCCAGAACUUCUGGUGAGGAAGGCACUCAGGAAAAUGCAGCACCCUAUGGAGGCCCAGAAAGGAGGGCAUUCAGGAAGAACACAGUCUGAUGGUGUCAAGUGCAGCGGAGGCUAAGAGGUAGGGAGGAAAAGAUGGUAAAAGGAGAGAACUGGGGAGGCAAGAGGGACAAAUGAGGGAGAAGAGAAGGGAGAGGAAAUACAACAGAGGCACAGAGUGGGGAUUUGUC